rnacentral:lncRNA from 1 species
UGCCAAAGAACAUCGUUAGAGUAUGCUUUACAUACCUCGUUGUAGAUUCGGAUACCAAUUUAACACAACUUCCCUCCUUUACAAAUCACUUAUCUACAAUGAAAUGUUUGGCAUCUAGUAGUAGCAACCCAACACCACAAUUCUCUUCCAUAAUUCCAUACUACCAAUAUUUGCAAAACAUUCCAAAAACCAACUUGAACAAUAGGUUUAUGUGUGUAUAUAUAUAUAAUCAUCAUUUCAAUACCACAUCAUCAAUACCACAUCAUCACCCCAAAUUCCUUCACAAUUUAACAUAAUCCAACCAUGCACAAGAAUAAUCCAACAUCAUUUCCAAUCAUCUUUCAACAACAAUCAAAUAACAUACUUCUUAUGCUCACAUGCAUAUAUAUAUAUACAUAUCCAUAUAAAUAACACCA